AGACCUUCGGAAAGUUGGAAAACGGCAACAGCUCAUCCUCCCCUCUUCUCUGUCUCCCUCCAAGGGGUCAGGACGGGAGACACCUUCAGAAGUGUGCCCAGCAUCGUUGGGUUCUAAUACCAAGGAAGUGAGGUCGCAUCCUCAAAGUUCCUCUACAGUUAGGAGCUAGCGCAAGAAGAAUGCUAGAAUGAAAACUGAAGUGCAAAGUUCCACACAAUUCUGAAGAGCUUGUUUGGUUUUUAACAUCAAAUUUUCCUCGGAGAAAGUUUAGGUCUUUCCAGGACCUUUCAUCAGAACCGGAAUACACUUUCUAGGCCAAAGUGCUAUUCUCUGUACAGGUAUCAUAGAGUUGUGCUCCUGAAAUCAGCAAUGAGGAGAAGCCAGACUUUGAUUUGGAUGGUAUUCGAUGUAAAUCUGAGUGGAGUGCACUGCCAAACUGACAGAAUUCUAGCUGGAUUCUGUGAGAAAGAACUGCUCAGUACGUCAUAAUCUUCCAUUGACUUGCAUGGAAGACUUGGAGCUAGAAAUAUGGUUGAAUGAAAAAUGAAGUGCAAACUGCCGGGCAAUUCUGAACAGUGUAUUUAUCUUCUAACAUCAAGUUUUUCUUAGGACAAAUUUGAGGACUUUCCAGGAUCUGCCUUUCAGCAGAAACUCAAUGCAAUUUCUAGACCAAAGUGCUAUCCAUGGUACAGGCCUCGUAGAGAUGUGCUACAAAAAUCAGCAAUGCAGAGAACCAGAAUGUGAUAUGAAAGUUAUUGCAGGGGAGAGCUGACGCUAGAAGUAUGCUUGAAUGAAAACUGAAUUGCAAUGUGCCGGACUAUUCUGAAGAGUGUUUGACUUCUAACAUCAAAUUCUUCACAAGACAAAGUUGAGGACUUUCCAGGACCUUUCACCAGAACCUGAAUGGACUGUCUAGACCAAAGUGCUAUUUAUGGUACAUGAAUCCUAGAGCUGUGCUAAAGAAAUCUGCAAAGCAGAGAACCAGAUUGAGAUGUGAGUGGUAUUGGAUUUAACUCCAAGAGCCCCCCCAAACUGCCAGAGCUCUAGCUCCUUUUUUGUGAAGGAAAUUCACAUUAUAUUUUAACAUUCCGUUGACUUGCAAGGGAGAGCUGGUGCUAGAAAAAUGCUUGAAUCAAAACUGAAGUGCAAGCUGUGCAACAUUCUGAAGAGUGUGUUUGGAUUCUAACAAGAAGUUCAUCUUAGGACAUUGUUGACUUUCCAGGACCUGUUUUUCAGCUGAACCUCAGUGAACUUUCUGAUAAAGUGCUAGUCACAUUACAGGCCUCAAAGAUAUGUGCUGCAGAAAAAAACAAUGCAGAAAGCCAGAUUCGGAUGUGAAUGGCAUUGGAUGCACCUCCAAGAGUAGAGUAUAUUCACAUUGUGACAGUGCUCUAAUUGCUUUCUCUGAGAAGGAACUGCAAUUUAUAUCAUAUCCUUCCAUUGACCUACAUGGGAGAACUGUCACUGGAAGAAGGAUUGAAUGACAACUGAAGUGCAAACUUCUGCACCUUUCUGAACCAUGUGUUUGGCAUCGGACAUCAAGUUCUUCUUAUGACAAAUUUGAGGACAUUCCAGGACCUGUCUUGCAGCAGAACAUGAAUGCACUGUCUAAGCCAAAGUGCUAUUCAUGGUACAAGCCUCAUAGAGAUGUGCUACAGAAAUCAC
ensembl:lncRNA